rnacentral:lncRNA from 1 species
UAACUGGCAAUAUGGGUGCUUGUUCUUGUUGAUUGAAAUGAAAGUAAUUCUUGCUCCAAUGCUUUUUUGAAAGUGAGAUACUGUUUGAUGCAGGCGCAAAAGAAGAACUUAAACAAACUGAGAACAAAGCUAUUAAAGCAACUGAAAAAGAAGAGGGUGAACCAACUGAGAUGCACGUGAAAGGACCAUCCAGCAGGAAGAAGUAUGUGAAGCGUCCUGUCAACCUGUUUGAUGCGUGAUGCUUCAGCAGGAAGAAGUAAAGUGUGUAUGGUGUCCUGUCAACCUGUUAGAUGCGGACCGGUGAUGCUUCAUGCAGAUACUAGGAUUGGGGAGCUUGGUGAAUCGAUUUAUGAGAAUUAUGCCAAAAAUAAUUA